UUUAUUUUGUACUAUUGUUAUGAACCCCUUAGUUAUAAUAGGUAUACAGUAUAAGCGUAUAUUAUAAGAGUAUAUGAUUGUAGUUUGUCGAUAACGCCUAGUGUGUAGGUGGCUCCAGGGAUAUUGUAUCGAUACGGCACCCGCGAGGAAGCCGGUGACCGGUGAGUCAGUCGUUCUAGUCGUUACAUAAAAAUUAUAUUAGCUCAAAAAUCCUUAGGACUGUUUUGUUAAAAUUUUUACUAAAACUGAACUACCACACUACCGCAAAAAAUAACGUUCGAACGGAACAACCUGUACGAUCACAACAACUGGUGGCAGCGGUAUCGCGGUCGUAAUUUUUGGCGAAGAAGCAACUUUGGAUGGAUAACCUAUAUCUAACAUACAUCUAUUCGGGGUAAUUUUUAUCGUUGAACAGUUGAUCAAAAGAGCGUCUUUUCGAUUAUUUAUACAUAUAAAAUAACUUGUCCUCACUGACUGAUUGUCGAUUGACUGACUGAUUCAUCAUUACCUGGCCCAAACCACUUGACGAAUCGGGCUGAAAUUCAGCAUACAGAAUACAGAUAGCAAUUAUGACGUAGGCAUGCGCUAAAAAAGGAUUUUUGAAAAUGCAACCCCUAAGGGAGUAAAAUAAGGGUUUUUAUGUAUUUUUGGUAGGAAUAUCUAAUUGGUUUUGUAUUUAUUAUUGUUUAUUCAUGGGUUACCUUGAUGAUAUGGAUGACGAUUUGGUUGUCACGGACAAGAAAACUAUUAUUGUUAUUGUUAUUAUUACCUACUUUUAUAUUUUACCCUAUUAUAUUAGCAGUAGCAAAGCAUUACCG